rnacentral:miRNA from 1 species
CCUCAGCCCAGCUGCCGUUGGUGAUCUUGUACUGCGCCUUGACCUCAGCGAUGAUGCUGUCCGUGUUCCGGGAGCAGUUGUUCUCCAUGGACAGCACCACAGCCAUGGCCGAGAUCUGGGACUGCAGCUCCCGGA